GUUCGUGGCGCCCAAUAAUAUGCCCGCCGCUUUGCCCAAUAAUGCGUGCGGUUCGUGAGGCCAGGCGCGGCGCAGGGGAAUCCAAUUAUUCAGGCCGAUCCAAACCGGUCUGUCGAGCUAUAGUACCAAGAGCACAGCACAGUGGAUCGUCACAAGACAGUGUCCUCCGGAAAAUCCGCUACGCAUCGACCAUCUCAACUAUUUAAACACCAUGAUAAGCACCAAAGUUAGUACUCAGAGGAGCACUAUACGUACUGACGGAUUCACAGAGCAUCCGGAACGUGGAAAAAAGUUGAGAAGAAUCUCGGUAUCGGACGCAGCGUCCAAGCAAGAGGAUGAAUUGAUGACCGCGGGCAGACACGACGCGCGCAC
rnacentral:lncRNA from 7 species